rnacentral:rRNA from 1 species
UACGUAGGGUGCGAGCGUUGUCCGGAAUUAUUGGGCGUAAAGGGCUCGUAGGCGGUUUGUCGCGUCGGGAGUGAAAACUCAGGGGCUUAACCCUGAGCCUGCUUCCGAUACGGGCAGACUAGAGGUAUGCAGGGGAGAACGGAAUUCCUGGUGUAGCGGUGAAAUGCGCAGGAAUAUCAGGAGGAACACCGGUGGCGAAGGG